AAGACAGAACUGUGGCCUGGAAGCGAGAGAGCUGCAAGUGAGAGUGGAGUGUCAAGUAGGAGAGGACCAGCAGGUGAGCUCACGCAGGAGUCGGGAUCAUACCAGGAGUGCCUCUCUCCUAGAGGAUUGUGAGUGCAGCAGAGACUAAGUGAUCCUGUCCUGUGGCUGAAGGGACCAGAGGGACAACGGAGAGAGUGGGCAAGCGGCAGCAGACUCUCUUUGGGUUUGGGAGAAGACCCCAUGUGGUACAGAGUUUGGUUUACAGGCUGAGUUGUUUAUGUUGACUCCUGCCGGGAAGAAGUUUGCCCCUGGGGAAUAAAGAUACUAGGAAAGAUGGUGAAUGAACCCAAAAGACUGUGUUUUUUGAGUGAGCAAAUUCCUGAAUCUGCUACAGGCACCAGCUCUACCGGACAGGACAUGUCAUGACAAUCAGUUCCCAAAACAGGUCCUGUGUGUCCAACUCAUCAAUGGUCCUUGCUGCAGAGGUGAGCAAAAGAAAAGAUUCAAGGACACUUUGAAGGCCAAUCUGAAGAAAUGUGAUAUUAACAUCAAUACCUGGGGGACUCGAGCACUGAACUGUUCCCAGUGGUGCUGUGAUGGAUGAGGCAUCAAUCACUUGGAAGCCCACAGAGAGAGUGAGAGAGACAAAAGGAAAGAGCUGUGACUUGAUGUUAUCAAUAUCUAUUCCUCCCUUCUGGAACUACUUGCCACACCUGCAGUCAAGCGUGGAUCUUGGAUUGAAUCUGUCAACUGUAGAAGUCACUGGUGACUUCCAUAUUCACUGGGAGACUGUCAUCCUUGUAUUGGGGGACUAGUGCACUGCCAUUUCAGUGGUCCCUUGAUAUGUCAUCCACAUCAUUUUCACUACCACCUCUACUAGGUUAUAGGAGCUUUGGUGAGGUGGUUCAGCACAAGGCCUAGAAGUGGACUCUAUUUUGCAUCUGUGUCAUCUUCAGGACAGUCAGCUGGGGCAGAUGCUUCCUCCGUAGCCAUCCACCUGAGGAGAAUCUAGGACCAGUGGAGACUGUAAUUGGUUUAGCAGCAUUUUCACUGGCUAUCCUUGGACCAGCUGGAUGGUUCCUGUCCCACCUUCAAAGCUAUAAAAAGAAAGAGAAGACAAAUACUUGAGUCCUCCGGUUCAUCAAAUCAGCUGUAAAUAUCCUUACCUGAGACCUCUUUAAAGGGAAAACUUCAACCUAAAGUCAAGACAACUUAAAACAUAUUUAAAAGCAGUUUCAGACUUUGCAGUCACUGCUGUGUUGCUGUGUGAUUCACUUACACAAGCAUAAUUAAUAUGAUGAAUUAAAUUGGGGCUGUCCAUUUUCUGGCUGAGGGCUGUUGGCAACCUGGGCAAACACUGCAUGGGCCACAUACACCUGGGCUGCAGGUUUUCCUGUAUAGCAAGAGGAGCAAAAAGGGGUGCAAUGACUAGACCAGGAGCUUGGGGGCCACCCUUUGCUGCCAUAUGCUUACAGGCUGCCAGUUGGAGAGCCCCAAAUUAAAUUCCCAGUCUUGCAAAGCCUCAUGCACAUGCUCAAUAUCAGGCCCUAGGAGAUGGCUCAUAGGACUGGUUCCACUGAAUAUGAAUAAAUACAUACUUAAGUCUUUGCAGAAUUGGGGCCUGAAUGAAUGGUGGAAAGUGACAUAUUGUGGUUUGAUUGAAGUGGGCUUGGUUCCAGGCAUUUCCACUGGACUUGCAUAGACCCCAUCUGCAUUUGGCUGGAGAGGUGUCAGAAGUGCAAGGUGAGCAAACUGGAAAAAAUGUAUAGAAAAAUCAUGCUUUUCAAAAUCAUUCAGUUUUACUCAUCCUAAAGGUUAUCUAUAAUAAAAGGAAAAUAUAUUGAGAAAAAGGGGGAUUUUAAUGUUAACUUUCUCUUUAGUUGUCUGUAUUAUUGUGGUUUCAGGAAAAA